rnacentral:rRNA from 1 species
UACGUAGGGACCAAGCGUUGUUCGGAUUUACUGGGCGUAAAGGGCGCGUAGGCGGCGUGGUAAGUCACUUGUGAAAUCUCUGAGCUUAACUCAGAACGGCCAAGUGAUACUGCUGUGCUAGAGUGCAGAAGGGGCAAUCGGAAUUCUUGGUGUAGCGGUGAAAUGCGUAGAUAUCGUUUGGAACGCCAAUGGUGAAAACAGGUUGCUGGGAGUGUGCUGACGCUGAGACACGAAAGCCAGGGGAGCAAACGGG